AUAGAUGACUCAAUUGAAUAAAACCAUCAAAGUCGAGAACUUAAUUAAGUACAAAAAGUCGUUUAGGAUUAAAUUCAGAAAAUCCACUAUAAUCAAGAACUAAAUUGGGUAUUAACUCAUAAAUAUAUGCUAAA